GUGUUUAUAGUUUAUGCAUUUAAAGCCGGACCAAUCACACCGCUGGCCUGUUAACCUCAGCGCUCCUCCUUUCACUCGAACUGGACACAGGCUGACCGCCAUGCAUAUUUACAUCAACCCCCUGUGAGGAAUUAUGAUUAGUUAUGAGGAGUUAUUGAUUAAGGUAAGAGUUUAAAACCCGCCGCGUUAGCUCUGGUUGCGCAGCUCUACGUGAACCGCAGGAAUAACUUGAAGUCGCGCUUUCAGAGGAGCUUUGAGGAGCGGUGAGAAUGAUGUAUAUUUGUGAACAAAACAUUAUGCGGUGUUUACAUCUCAACACGCUGCCCAGCGUUUGGCCCUGCCUUCCCUGUAAAGUUUAGGUCUGUGUUCCCGGUUGGCCGGUAGUUAGCGGUUAACGACCCAGCGCUAAUCACUCAUCGUGCAGGUUUAACCCGGUGAGGAGCUUCGCGCUGUCCUCGCAGUCACGCAUCACGCUGAUUUGAUAUUAUUUUAUUAUUAUUACUAGUUUAUUAUUUUCCGGUUACACUAAGCACCAAACCGUAUCAAAUGUUUUGCCCACUUAGUCAGACAGAGUUAAUGCGCGCAGCUCAUCCAGAAACUCGACCAACCAAAAUAGUUUCUGUGACUCUUAUUAAAACUCAACAGACACGAAAUGAAAGAGUCACUAAAGCCACAUUAGCAGCAUUGAAUUAAAUCUCCCGUUUGUUGCUCAUUUCUGCGCAGUGCAGCGGGUUUAACUUAUCAUGCAGGGUCGGUCCAAGGGUGUAUGAGGCCUGGAGCAGAAUAUGACUUGGGGGGCCCCUUUUGUUGCUAAAAACAUCAGCACCUCUAACAGCUUCUGUAUUAGAUUUAGUGAAAUCUAGGACAGGGGGAGUAGUUUAACUGGCAAACCUAAAAAGCAAUAAAUUA